rnacentral:rRNA from 1 species
CCUGCCCCCCGCCCAGGGACAGCCCCCCGAAAGGGGGAUUAAUACCUGGUACUCCGGAAGCGGCGCAUGCCGCAUCCGGGAAAGCUCUCGCGGCGGGGGAUGGGGUCGCGGCCCAUCAGGUAGACGGCGGGGCAGAGGCCCACCGUGCCGACGACGGGUAGCCGGGUUGAGAGACCGACCGGCCACAUUGGGACUGAGAUACGGCCCAGACUCCUACGGGAGGCAGCAGUGGGGAAUUUUGCGCAAUGGGGGCAACCCUGACGCAGCAACGCCGCGUGCGGGACGAAGGCGUCCGCGUCGUAAACCGCUUUCAGCGGGGAACACCUAAACGAGGGUACCCGCAGAAGAAGCCCCGGCUAAAUACGUGCCAGCAGCCGCGGUAAUACGCAUGGGGCGAGCGUUAUCCGGAUUCAUUGGGCGUAAAGCGCGCGUAGGCGGAGCGCUAAGCGGGACCUCUAACCCGAGGGCUCAACCCCCGGCCGGGUCCCGAACUGGCGCUCUCGAGUGCGGUAGGGGAGAGCGGAAUUCCCGGUGUAGCGGUGGAAUGCGCAGAUAUCGGGAAGAGCACCGACGGCGAAGGCAGCUCUCUGGGCCGAAACUGACGCUGAGGCGCGAAAGCUGGGGGAGCGAACAGGAUUAGAUACCCUGGUAGUCCCAGCCGUAAACGAUGGGAGCUAGGUGUGGGGGAUGAGAUCCCCCGUGCCGCAG